UACAGAGGGUGCGAGCGUUAAUCGGAAUUACUGGGCGUAAAGCGCGCGUAGGCGGCUUUGCAAGUCGGGUGUGAAAUCCCCAGGCUUAACCUGGGAACUGCAUUCGAGACUGCAUUGCUAGAGUAUGGGAGAGGGAAGUGGAAUUUCCGGUGUAGCGGUGAAAUGCGUAGAUAUCGGAAGGAACAUCAGUGGCGAAAGCGACUUCCUGGACCAAUACUGACGCUCAUGUGCGAAAGCGUGGGGAGGCAAACAGGAU
rnacentral:rRNA from 1 species